rnacentral:lncRNA from 1 species
GUUAAAAGAAAAAGUUUGGUUACCCACUCAACAGAUCAAUUCUUCUCCUUGUGUAAUUCUUACUGUGAACCUCUCUUCUCCCUUUGAUUACAGGAAGAAUCAAAGCUCUGAUAUGUAUAUUAGCUCUUGAACUACCUUCUUUUGCUCUGGCAAGAUGUGCAAGAUUGCUAGUUUCCAGCAAGUUUUAAAGGAGCCUCAUCACAGGAUUCAAGAAGUGCAGACAUAAAGGCUGGGAGGAAUAGGAGGAAAUUAUCUGCCUAGCCUGCUUGUGUUGAGGCAGGAGGAGCUGGAGCUUUCUCCACUUCUGACAUUGGUAUGAAAGAACUCUGAAAAAAAGCUUGAAACUGUCCUGAGCGUGACCAAAUCUCAGCAAUGAAAAAAGCUGCAUGAAGGCAAAAAGACUGAGGCAGGUGCAGGAAAUAAAGGCACAUAUCACAACAGCUCCUCUUCUUCUGCCCAGCUGGAAGGAGAAUUACACAAAAGUCUCUGAACCCACACUUCAAUUCUUAUGACAAGAAAAAAGGAUUGGAAAGAUUCUGUUUCCCUGGUCUUACGAAAUGGCUUCCUUGGAGCUCUUUUGCAAUUUGGUCCUUGAAAAAAAAAAUUUCAAUGAACACAAAUGACUCAGAGGAUAAGCUUUGAAUCACACACUGAGACUUACUCUCCUUACAUGACCUACAAUAGUUUCAAUCCUUUUAUGGAUAAUAAACAAUUUUCAAAGGGAAUAUGAUUUAUCAUUUAAAGGUAUAAACAAGAAAAAGUGCCUGUUCUUCACUUUAAGUGCAUCUUUCAUCAGUUAAGCAACAACAAUUCCAAAAAUUAUGAUGGCAAUUAGAUGGCAGCUAUUACUGUUAGUAUAAUUUUCCUUGUCAGUAUUUUAUAAAGCAUGUUUGUAUGUUGACAUCAGUACUGUUGACACCACCUUCAGACUAUGUCAGUAAGACUAGUCAUGAAAAAUCAUGAACUAUUAAAUAACAUCAACUACUGGCAGUGAAUACAUGCAUAUAUUUUGCUAAUUUAUUGUACGUUUCACAUAUAUAAAUGGAAUAAAAACAGAAAUAAUUAUUUCAUGUCAAUAAAAU